GAGCCUGUGGCUCAAUGGAGUAGGGUGCUGGCCCCAUAUGCCAGAGGUGGCGGGUUCAAACCCAGCCCGGUCCCA
rnacentral:tRNA from 1 species